rnacentral:rRNA from 1 species
GACCUCGGAUCAGGUAGGAAUACCCGCUGAACUUAAGCAUAUCAAUAAGCGGAGGAAAAGAAACCAACAGGGAUUGCCCUAGUAACGGCGAGUGAAGCGGCAACAGCUCAAAUUUGAAAUCUGGCUCUCGGGCCCGAGUUGUAAUUUGUAGAGGAUGCUUUUGAUGCGGUGCCUUCCGAGUUCCCUGGAACGGGACGCCAUAGAGGGUGAGAGCCCCGUCUGGUUGGAUGCCAAAUCUCUGUAAAGCUCCUUCGACGAGUCGAGUAGUUUGGGAAUGCUGCUCUAAAUGGGAGGUAUAUGUCUUCUAAAGCUAAAUACCGGCCAGAGACCGAUAGCGCACAAGUAGAGUGAUCGAAAGAUGAAAAGCACUUUGAAAAGAGAGUUAAAAAGUACGUGAAAUUGUUGAAAGGGAA